AGCGGCGGAUGGGUGAGUAACACGUGGGGAACCUGCCCCUAAGUCUGGGAUACCAUUUGGAAACAGGUGCUAAUACCGGAUAAUAAAGCAGAUCGCAUGAUCAGCUUUUGAAAGGCGGCGUAAGCUGUCGCUAAGGGAUGGCCCCGCGGUGCAUUAGCUAGUUGGUAAGGUAACGGCUUACCAAGGCGACGAUGCAUAGCCGAGUUGAGAGACUGAUCGGCCACAUUGGGACUGAGACACGGCCCAAACUCCUACGGGAGGCAGCAGUAGGGAACCUUCCACAAUGGACGCAAGUCUGAUGGAGCAACGCCGCGUGAGUGAAGAAGGUUUUCGGAUCGUAAAGCUCUAUUGUUGGUGAAGAAGGAUAGAGGUAGUAACUGGCCUUUAUUUGACGGUAAUCAACCAGAAAGUCACGGCUAACUACGUGCCAGCAGCCGCGGUAAUACGUAGGUGGCAAGCGUUGUCCGGAUUUAUUGGGCGUAAAGUGAGCGCAGGCGGAAAAAUAAGUCUAAUGUGAAAGCCCUCGGCUUAACCGAGGAACUGCAUCGGAAACUGUUUUUCUUGAGUGCAGAAGAGGAGAGUGGAACUCCAUGUGUAGCGGUGGAAUGCGUAGAUAUAUGGAAGAACACCAGUGGCGAAAGGCGGCUCUCUGGUCUGCAACUGACGCUGAGGCUCGAAAGCAUGGGUAGCGAACAGGAUUAGAUACCCUGGGUAGUCCAUGCCGUAACGAUGAGUGCUAAGUGU
rnacentral:rRNA from 1 species